UCCCUGGCGGCCCAGCGGUUAGGGCUCUGCACUGCCACUGCAGGGGAACGGGUUCAAGCCCUGCUUGGGGAG
rnacentral:tRNA from 1 species